rnacentral:rRNA from 1 species
GGAAUCUUCCACAAUGGACGAAAGUCUGAUGGAGCAACGCCGCGUGAGUGAUGAAGGUUUUCGGAUCGUAAAACUCUGUUGUAAGGGAAGAACAAGUACGAGAGGGAAUGCUCGUACCUUGACGGUACCUUGCGAGAAAGCCACGGCUAACUACGUGCCAGCAGCCGCGGUAAUACGUAGGUGGCAAGCGUUGUCCGGAAUUAUUGGGCGUAAAGCGCGCGCAGGCGGCCUUUUAAGUCUGAUGUGAAAGCCCCCGGCUCAACCGGGGAGGGUCAUUGGAAACUGGAAGGCUUGAGUACAGAAGAGAAGAGUGGAAUUCCAUGUGUAGCGGUGAAAUGCGUAGAGAUGUGGAGGAACACCAGUGGCGAAGGCGACUCUUUGGUCUGUAACUGACGCUGAGGCGCGAAAGCGUGGGGAGCAAACAGGAUUAGAUACCCUUG